rnacentral:rRNA from 1 species
GAUGAACGCUAGCGGCAGGCCUAAUACAUGCAAGACGAACGGUAAGAUUUUUAGCAAUAGAGAUCCUAGAGUGUCGUAAGGGUGCGUAACACGUAUGCAAUCUGCCCUCAACAGGAGAAUAGCUCCCCGAAAGGGGAAUUAACACUCCGUAAUAUCACAUAAUGGCAUCAUUCAGUGAUUAAAUCUCAGGUGGUUGAGGAUGAGCAUGCGCAUGAUUAGUUAGUUGGCGGGGUAACGGCCCACCAAGACGAUGAUCAUUAGGGGACCUGAGAGGUUGAUCCCCCACACUGGCACUGAGAUACGGGCCAGACUCCUACGGGAGGCAGCAGUAGGGAAUAUUGGACAAUGGGUGCGAGCCUGAUCCAGCCAUGCCGUGUGCAGGAAGACGGCCUUCUGGGUUGUAAACUGCUUUUGCCAGGGGAUAAAACGGCUCCGCGGAGCUAAUUGAAGGUACCUGGUGAAUAAGCCACGGCUAACUACGUGCCAGCCGCCGCAGUAAAAC